GGGGCAGUAGGCUGCUGAUGGAGCUGCGGCAUCCCUUCGGCUGGGGCCCCGGGAGGGGGAAGGGAAAAGACCGAGCAGUGGAGGGAAGAGGGAGCCAUUUCUCUCCACUGGCUGCGACCUCCGUGCUCACAGCUCACAUUUGCCCGGAAUCCCGAGGCCUCCUCGGCCGAGGACUCCAUCAUGCUGGAUAUUUUCAUCCUGAUGUUCUUUGCCAUCAUAGGCCUGGUCAUUCUGUCCUACAUUAUCUAUCUGCUCUAGCUGCGGCGGGGAACCCUCAGAACAGCUCGGGGGGGAAGGAUGGAGCUGACCGGCCGAGCAUCCUGCUUUGCUGACGCACCGGUGGAUUUUUGCUUCUGGUCGUUAUUUCGGCUCCUGGUCUCCACUCCAACCAGAGACCUCUUAGCAGCAGUCUUGCUGCCCAGCAGACCUCUUCCAGAACCUUCCGGAUAUGGCUAACCACUGUGGAGCAAGGGGCUUUUUGAGCCCAGAGGCAGAGGGGCACUCAGCCGGGACGUCAGGAAUUCGUGGGCAAGGCUGGCAGAUGCUGUGUGCGUUUGAGCUGUGGAUAGGUGUUGAGGACACAGAGCUGAAAUGCAGACUCAUGAAAGUCACCACGGAGAACUGCGCACAUAUCCAUUUUGAUAGCCUCUCUCUAGGUGUAAAUGCAACUGCGUAUUAUGCUAAAAUAUGUUCUUUCCUUUCCCUCUCACACACUGGGGGGAUAGUUCAAGAGCACAUUGUCUACCCUCAUCUCUGAAGUAUUCAGUUUAUCGCUGUCUUUGCAGACAGCCUGAGGUGGUGUAGUAUCUAUCCCUUGUCUCACUCUUUAGCCAGAAGGAACUCGUCAUUUGAAUUUUUAAGAUUUAUCAUAUUUUUUCCACUCCAUACCACGUGAGCCCCAGCUUCUCAUUUAAAGAGAGAAAUGGUUAUAUAGUCAUUAUUCUUUGAGACUGUCUGAAUUAUAAAUUAUUGAAAUAGGGUAGCUAUAACUCAUCUUACUUGUUAUGUGGGAAAAAUCUCUCUCUUGCCCCAAAAUAAAUUUUUUUUUUUUUU